rnacentral:rRNA from 1 species
CCUACGGGAGGCAGCAGUGGGGAAUUUUGGACAAUGGGCGCAAGCCUGAUCCAGCAAUGCCGCGUGAGUGAAGAAGGCCUUCGGGUUGUAAAGCUCUUUUGUCAGGGAAGAAACGGUGGUUCCUAAUACGGACUACUAAUGACGGUACCUGAAGAAUAAGCACCGGCUAACUACGUGCCAGCAGCCGCGGUAAUACGUAGGGUGCAAGCGUUAAUCGGAAUUACUGGGCGUAAAGCGUGCGCAGGCGGUUAUAUAAGUCAGAUGUGAAAUCCCCGGGCUCAACCUGGGAACUGCAUUUGAGACUGUAUGGCUAGAGUGUGUCAGAGGGGGGUUAGAAUUCCACGUGUAGCAGUGAAAUGCGUAGAUAUGUGGAGGAAUACCGAUGGCGAAGGCAGCCCCCUGGGAUAACACUGACGCUCAUGCACGAACGACGUGGGGAGGACGAACGAGGAGUAGUAUACCGUACGGUAGUACCGACCGACCGUAACCGUACGUAGUACUACUAGUUAGUCGGGUACGUUAACUUA